CAAGAGAAGGUGCAUUACAAGCCUUUAGCUGCACUUCAGCAAUAUCCUUGUUUGGGCCUGCAAGAAGUAUCGACAAUGAAAGUCAUUGUGUGUGUGAUCAUGGCAAUGCUUCUCACCAAUUCAUGCCCAUUUGUGCGUUCAAGGAACAUCGAAGGGAAUGCAAUGCAUGUGAAGAACAUGCGCAAACUGACUUCUAGUUCUGUUGAUGGAAGGAGUACCCCUGCUGGUGAGGAAAUACAUCAUGCGUGUUCACUAGGGAACUACCCCUGCCAAGGGAUGUUCCACAGUUCCAAGGAGAACACAGAAGGUGGAGGAAACUAACUCCCGCUAUUAUCAUGGAAAAAACUGAAGAUAAGUAAUAGUGUGAGAUCAUGUAUGUGCUUGCUAUGUACUCCUUCCGUCCGAAAAUACUUCUCAUCAAAAUGGAUAAAAAAGGAUGUAUCUAGAACUAAAAUAUGUCUAGAUACGUCUCCUUUUAUUCAUUUUGAUGACAAGUAUUUCCGGACGGAGGGAGUAACUUUUAUCUUGUUUUGAAGACUUAAUGUGCAAGUAUGUGUAUAUUGUACUUCUAAAAUUAUUAUAUUUAUAAAUAAGAGUCUUAACAACUCUAUUGCAAGGCUA